CGUGGGUCCCCUGUCAGUCAUUGGCUCCCUGCGGUUUCCUUGGGGACGUGGCGCCGCCGCCGGCGCAGGCCUCCUUCCGGCUGGGCUGGAGACCGUGGGCAUUCGCCCGGGACAGCGCGGAGAGGUGCUGGAGGAGCGGCGGGCCCCUGGACCCGUGAGUGCUGCAGGCUUAGGAGAUGCCUGGGACAAGGAGACCACCUUCUCCGGGCAAAAGGAAAAGGAGGUGACAGGCGUUGGGACCACUGAGGGGAACCCAUGGCUAGGAUCAGUUUUUCCUACCUCUGCCCAGCCUCCUGGUACUUUACUGUGCCCACAGUGAGCCCAUUUCCCCGUCAGCGGGUGGCAUUCCUAGGACUCUUCUUCAUAUCCUGCCUCCUUCUACUUAUGUUAAUCAUGGACUUUCGACAUUGGGGUGCUUCAUUACCACGAGAUAGGCAAUAUGAAAGGUGAGUCAGCUUUAGAUCACUUUCCUCAGCUUUGCAUUGAAGUCAUAAAUAUUUUGAUAAGCUGUUUAACACAUUACUACCUUUGACCCUUUUGGGGAAAACUGUACUUUUGUUAGUAAAAUUGCAUGACACUUAUUGCAUAACAAUCUUGACAAUCUUCAGUUUUGAUUCAGGAAUGAUGAUGCUUGUGUUUUAACUUUGUAAGGCAUCUUUCCUAUUUUUCUGUUUUUGUGGGCUAACUUAUUAGUGCAUAAAUGUUUACGAUUGUUAUGUACUCUUGAUGCAUUGACCCUUUUUAUUAUUAUUGAAUGACUCUCUUUAUCCUUGAUUAUAUUCUUUGCUAUGAAAUCUACUGGUCUGGUAUUAAGCUUUCUUUUGAUUAGUGUUAGUGUGACAGGUGCUUUUCCAUCCUUUUGGUUUUAGCCUGUUUCAGUCUUUAUAUUUCAAGUGGGCUUCUUGUAGCAGCAUUUAGCUGAGUCUUGCUUUUUGUCCUAUCUGACAGUGUCUGCUUUUUAUUUGGGGCGUUUAAG